AUCCGGAUCCAGCCCCAACCCACCACCCCACCUCACCUCCGCCCGCCGCCACCGCCUCUGCCCCGGCUAUAAAGGUCCGCCCUUUGGCCGGCCCGCUCCUCCUCUCUUCGUCCGGGCCGCGCCUCUCGCCUCCUUCCUUCGUCCUCGGUUCGUCCGGGCCACGCCCUUUGGCCGUACCUCCGCGUGACGGACUCCGUGCCGGCCUCCGAUUCCAAAUCCAUCCGCCCUGCUCCCUCUGCCUCUGCGGUGCUCGGCCAAGAAGCAGGCGACCGGCGGCGGGGGCACCAGCGUCGUGAGCCAGCUGCGCGCGCUCGUCGCCGCGCGGUGCGUCGAGGUGGAGGGCAGGGGGGCGGUGGUGCCCGUCGCCGCCUGGUCCGGGUGGGAGUUCCCGCGGUCGCGCUCUGCCGCCGCCGCCGCCGCCGCCGUGUUCAAGAUCGUCUUCUUCGGGUCGACCCGCCCUUCCGAGGCAAUGUGUAGAGCCUCUCCUCCUCUCGCGUCUGGUGCGGCAAUUUGUCCUCGAUUCCUGCCUCUCCUCCUCUGUCCUCGCUCGAUUCGUCCGCUUAGACUAGAAGAAUCGCGUCUGAUUUGUUUCAUUUUGCUCGUCCUCGUCACCCAUUUAGAAUCGCUUCUGAAUUGAUUUUGCUCGUCCUCGCCGUCGUCGUCAGUUUAGAGUCGCAUGUGAUUUGAUUUUUUGCUCGUCGUCGCCGUAGCCCUGAUGCUCUCGCGUGUUCUUGGCGCCGUCUCGUCCGGGGGUCUUCGUCCCUGCGACUCUCGGAGGAAGUGACCGAGCGGUCGGUCGGUUUGGGUCACCGUCUGCUUGAGAAACUUGUGCGUUCGCUUCUGUUAUCUGCCUGCGUUUCGUGUUCGCGUCGCCCCGACGGUUGCAGGAACGAUUGGUUCUGGUUUCGAAAUUGGAGCAGUGUCAAAUGGCUCCCUCUGUUCCAUCACCUGCGUUGUUCGUCGGUUGAUUUCAGAUCUCAAACGCAUGCGCCCUUGUGAUACUCUGGUUGCCCUCUGUCGAUUCUUGUUCUACCGGCAGGCGUGUGUGCUCCCAUCGUAGAUGCAGAUAAUCUUGUUCUUGUCUGUUACGGUUGUUCUGAUGCUGUUCGUUUCAAUUGUUUAGUGUUACAUCAUGCUCUGCUUAUGUUCCCAUAUGGCACGAUUGACUGAUUGAUUGUUGUUUGUUGUUUGAUUGAUUGCCUUGAGAUGGAUUGUUGUUUGUUGUUUGAUUGAUUGUCUUGAGAUGGAUUGUUGUUUGUUGUUUGAUUGAUUGCCUUGAGAUGGAUUGUUGUUUGUUGUUUGAUUGAUUGCUUGCCUUGAGAAGGUACAAACCAUGUAGGCUAGUUGCUUGUUGUUUGUUGCCUUGAGAUGGUACAUGUUUAUAUGGGACGAUUGAUUACUGUUUGUGUAUGGUUAUUAAGGUUGAUUGAUUGAUUGUUGUUUGUUGAUUGAUUGAUGUUUGUUGACUGGUAUCUGACUUUGGUAACGGUAGUUCCUGAUCAUAGGUAACAGACCUAGUGCUAUUCUUUUUUCUGAACUUUUUUGUGAUUAUUAUGCCUUCACAUUGCACUGCUCCCAGAUCCAUAUCGACAUGCCCACGCUGUCUGAUGAGGAUAAAGAUGUAAGGAACUCCUCCCAGGAUCUCUCAUGCUCCUUGUAUUAACUUGGUUACUAGAUUUACAUGUUAAUUAUUAUUUUCGUGAAACUGGAGCUCCUUGCUGUAACCCAUUAUAUGACUUUAUGAGCAUGCACCACUUCCAGGUUAUGAAAAAAUGGGGAAAGCAAGAUUGACUUCUUCUCUCUUUCUUAUACAAGGAAUGCAGAAGAUGUGCGGCAAGCACUGGAGUUCCUCUCAAAGUUAGGUGAUCUUAGCCAAACUCUGAUAUUUGCCAAAAUUUAGAGUGUAGAGGGCUUGAACCAUUUUGAUGAGAUACUGGAAGAAGCAGAUGGUAUAAUUCUGUCAAGAGGAAACCUUGGAAUUGAUCUUUCACCUGAAAAGGUGCGGGUUGCUAUCAAAGUUAAGGCUUCGGUCAUCAUUUGCUUCACCUCAUCUGGACGGGCUGCAAGGCUAAUUGCCAAGUACAGGUCCACCAUGGCAUUCCUCGUCUAAAAACAAAUCAAUUGAAGUGGAGCUUCACAAGCGCAUUUGAAGCAAGACAAUCACUCAUAGUUAGAGACCUCUUUCCCAUGCUUGCUGAUCCACGUCACCCGGCUGAAUCUACUAGCAGUACAAAUGAAUUCACUGUUGAAGGUUGCUCUUACCUUAGCCAGAAUUUCUAUAAGAAUGUUGCUCAUGUUACAUGCCUUCCUUUCUCUAGUAAGUAGAACAAGAAUACAUUUAACAUUUCUUUUAUGUCCAUAUGCGUACGCUCAUGAUAUUUUGAAGUACAAACCAAAUUCUAAAUAAAUAAGCAUGCGUCUGUGUGCCUACAAACUUGUGGGUAGUGAUCAAGAUAAUCACUUAACCAGCCUCUAACUAGCUUCCUAUUUUCAGGAACG